rnacentral:miRNA from 1 species
UUUAAAAUGCAUCUCUGGGUUAUUUGUGGGGCAUAGGAAUUUUUUUUUGGAGGGGGGGAAUGAACAAAUUCCUAUGCCCCACAAAUAACCCAGAGAUGCAUUUUUAA